GUGGACGCUGGCGGUAGGCCUAACACAUGCCAGUCGAACGGCAGCACAGUAAGAGCUUGCUCUUACGGGUGGCGAGUGGCGGACGGGUGAGGAAUACAUCGGUAUCUACUUUUUCGGGGGGGAUAACGUAGGGAAACUUACGCUCAUACCGCAUACGACCUACGGGUGAAAGCAGGGGAUCUUCGGACCUUGCGCGAUUGAAUGAGCCGAUGUCGGAUUAGCUAGUUGGCGGGGUAAAGGCCCACCAAGGCGACGAUCCGUAGCUGGUCUGAGAGGAUGAUCAGCCACACUGGAGCGGAGACACGGUCCAGACUCCUACGGGAGGCAGCAGUGGGGAAUAUUGGACAAUGGGCGCAAGCCUGAUCCAGCCAGACCGCGUGGGUGAAGAAGGCCUUCGGGUUGUAAAGCCCUUUUGUUGGGAAAGAAAAGCAGCAGGUUAAUACCCCGCUGUUCUGACGGUACCCAAAGAAUAAGCACCGGCUAACUUCGUG
rnacentral:rRNA from 1 species